CUUUGGAAUCAGCAGGGCGCCGCGUCGCGCCGCAUCGCGUCGUGUCGUGCCGCACCGCGUCGUGUCGCGCCGACGCUCCGGCAUGUCGAAGACAUCUGGAUUCGACAGGGGCUUCCGUAUGACGAUCGGCCGGCCCUCUUCAAUACGUGCCCUUUCGAGUCUCUGCGAAAUUGCUCGUAGCAAUGCCCCGAGCCGCUUUUUCUAGACGAACCGCUACUCCCCGUCGUUCGUGAGAAUCUCGAAAGUCUUGGGAACAGCGACGUUCACAAGUGCAUCAUCGUUCAUCAGUCGCAAGCAGGAAGCUGGGACAACGGAGGCUGUUUCGCAACGGUGAAUACUUGAAAACGUAACAUAACCUCGACAGAAACUGUUCUUUUCGCAUUGAAAUGUUAAGUUGCCGGUUGACAGAUCGUUUUCUGGCGUAGCAAUUAGGGCGAUUUGAGCUAAGGAAGAAUAAUAAAUUUGAAUGCAAGUUUGAGAGGGCGCAAUAUCGCAAGAAGCGCGAGGGUUAUGUCACAAGUCCCAUUAGUCAUCUUCAUCCGAUGGAUUCUCUUGUCUCCUACAAAACUAUUGGACACUCAGUACAUAGUUGUUCGCAUCCAAGCCAUGCGCAGUGUUCAAGAAAACGCAUGGGCGCGCGCGCGCGUGCGAAGCGAAAUCGUCGAUCGGCUCGAAUCGUCGCACGGCCUUGCUCGCGUUGAAGAAUCGAAGGCAAUCGGCAAUAAUCCACUGUCAGCGGACAUUGUGUCACAAACACGUUCACGGUUUGUGUUCAGUGGAACGGUUAACGGGAUUGACCGCCGCGCGUAGAUCACGAACGCAAGAUUUUUCCGGGCAUGUACUGUAUCUGAAUACGCAAUCGCGUUCCGGAAUCGGUUUGCCCGGUUCGUAGUACCGUACGGAGAUCCACUUGUACACCUGUGCGUUUUCAAUCAGGCGACAGGUGAACAAAUGUUCGUACAAUUAUCGACUCGUUGCGUCAGUCCUUGCGCCAGUGCUUGCGCCAAAGGAUUAAGACUAGUCUAUCUUAUGGCUCUCGUGCCACACGUGGUCACUCUUCGAGUUCCAAAACGAACGAUAAAUUACUCUCGCAACAGUUAUGGUCUACCGUGGUCUAUUCACUGAACUAUCAUUUACCGUACACUGUGCCCCUGGCCUAACUCUUCACCUGCUUACAGGGACAAAGACGUCGGCUUCCCGUCCGGCAAGCAGCACCUCUCGUCGCCGCGGCCAUUGCCGUAUUUGGGACAAUACGGAGGGUAUUUCCCGGUGUAGCAGAACGAGCCCCUCGUGCCGAUCGGCGUGUGCUGUCCCAUGGACACGUAUUCGCCCGGUCUGCUCUCGAUCCUCGGCCCGGAAGGACACCUUCUGGAGCAAGGCUCGGCCAUCGGCUCCCGGCCGUCGUUGUCGACGCUCUCGGCCAUGUAGCAGACCACCCAGACGUGGCUGCAGAGCUGCGAAUUCGCUUUGCCGUCGCAGAACGGCUGCACCUUGCCGCCGUUCACGCAGAAGUCCACGUGGCCCAUGCGGCCACUUUCCCCGUAAUAGCCAGCAUUCGUGUGGAUCACCCCGACGAAGUCGGCGUCCCCGCUGUCCAGACGGUUAAUGUAGCCGGGUCGCAGCAGCGGCCUGGCCGGGUCCAGCCCGAUGAUCCGGUGCAUCCUGAACAGCAAGAAGUUCGCCAUGAUGCCGCAGAUGUGCGCGCCCAGCGAGUGUCCCACGCAGGUUGUCCUCGCGAUCGGCAGGCCAAGGUCUCUCAAGGUCGUCAGAGUACCGGCCAGACAUUUAGCCACCGGCCGGAGGUUCGCCACCGCGGCCGGGUAACAGGGUGGCGAGCACAAUACGCCCCAGUCGACCAGGAACACGUUGUAGCUACCAUUCCGCAGGUAAGCGUCCCGGAGCACUGCAAUCGGCAGGGUGUCGUCGCCACCUGAAUUUGAUUAAGGCUUUGUUUAUUUAUCUAACUUGUUGGAGGGCGACGAAUUUUUAGAACCAAUCUUCAUUUGUGGAUAAUUUUGGUUUGAGGGUUGCCGUUAGGGGACCAAUUUAAUAAUUGGAUUAGGCUUGUAUUGCGUGGUAGUAGAGAGUAUUUGAAAAGAAGAUUUUUGUAACAAUAACUGUGUGUGAUAAUAAUUGUGUAUGUGUAUGUUUUUAUUGUUCGCGUGAAAGGAUAUGUGUUCGCAUUUAACUUCGCAAGGUAACUGAGAUACGUUAUGUCAGUUUCAUAUGUUUAUUAACAAUGAACUAAGCGUCUCUUUAGGCUGUCAACAAGAUAACAAAAAAAGUAAGCAGGCAAAACAAAUAAUAAUAAUUUUCACCGUAAAUUCAGACGUUUUCGUAUACUCGUAUACUGUAUGGUUGCGCCUAUCGUUGAGACAAACAUUUGUAUAAACAAUACUCUUUUUCUUGUUCACAAAAUCAUUCUAUUUCGCGUUUCGCAAUUCGUACGUUCAUCGAUUCACGCGAAAUCGUAUUAAGUAACACGGCAAACCCGAAU